AACUUCCCCUUAGUAGGGCAUAGCCCGUAGAAAUGCGGAUUAAUACCCUAGUGUUGUAUAUUGAGGACAUCUGAUUUAUACCAAAGGUUCACCGCUAAGGGGAUGGGGAUGCGUCUGAUUAGGUAGUCGGCGGGUAACGGCCCACCGAGCCUACGAUCAGUAGGGGUUCUGAGAGGAAGGUCCCCCACAUUGGAACUGAGACACGGUCCAAACUCCUACGGGAGGCAGCAGUGAGGAAUAUUGGUCAAUGGACGAGAGUCUGAACCAGCCAAGUAAGCGUGCAGGAUGACGGCCCUAUGGGUUGUAAACUGCUUUUAUACGGGGAUAAAGUGAGGGACGUGUCCCUUUUUGUAGGUACCGUAUGAAUAAGGACCGGCUAAUUCCGUGCCAGCCGCUGC
rnacentral:rRNA from 1 species